UUUAGUGUCUUCUCUCUGUU
rnacentral:misc_RNA from 1 species